rnacentral:lncRNA from 1 species
AAAACAUAUAUUUGUCCAUUUUAUUCACAAGAAAAAUCAUCAGCAUUUAAACAUCAUAACAGUGUUUAAGCAGCAGCAGAAGCAAACAGAAUUACUAGCUAUAAUAGCAACUGGUAAAACACACAAAUGCACAAGGGUACUUCUUCUCCCCCUAAGUCUGUACAACACAGGCAUCUCCUUUAACAAUAACAACACCUGUAAUAAUCAGAGUCACCCUCUGACAUCUGCUUCAACAUCACCUGUGCACCAUAUCAG